rnacentral:piRNA from 1 species
UAAGAACACUGGGUUGUCUCGGGAACUUA